GACGAACGCUGGCGGCGUGCUUAACACAUGCAAGUCGAACGGAAAGGCCCUGCUUUUGUGGGGUGCUCGAGUGGCGAACGGGUGAGUAACACGUGAGUAACCUGCCCUUGACUUUGGGAUAACUUCAGGAAACUGGGGCUAAUACCGGAUAGGAGCUCCUGCUGCAUGGUGGGGGUUGGAAAGUUUCGGCGGUUGGGGAUGGACUCGCGGCUUAUCAGCUUGUUGGUGGGGUAGUGGCUUACCAAGGCUUUGACGGGUAGCCGGCCUGAGAGGGUGACCGGCCACAUUGGGACUGAGAUGCGGCACAGACUCCUACGGGAGGCAGCAGUGGGGAAUAUUGCACAAUGGGCGGAAGCAUGAUGCAGCAACGCCGCGUGCGGGAUGACGGCCUUCGGGUUGUAAACCGAUUUCGCCUGUGACGAAGCGAGAGUGACGGUAAUGGGUAAAGAAGCACCGGCUAACUACGUG
rnacentral:rRNA from 1 species